rnacentral:tRNA from 1 species
GGAGAAGUGGCAGAGUGGCUUAAUGCGUCGGUUUGCUAAAUCGUUAUGCGGCUUAUUUACGCAUCGUGGGUUCGAAUCCCAUCUUCUCCU